rnacentral:lncRNA from 12 species
ACAUUUAUUUAAAAGUGUCAGUAAAGACAUUUAUCAUGUUACAAAAGAUUUCUGUUUCAAAAAAAAGAUAUAUAUAUAUGAAUUAGUAAAACAUUGAUAAUACAAGAAAUAUUUCCUGAGCAGCAAAUCAGCAUAUUAGAAUGAUUUCUGAUCAUGUGACACUGGAUGAUGCUGAAAAUGCAGCUUUGCAUCACAGGAAUAAAUGACACAAGAUUUAAUAAAACAGAAAACAAUUAUAUUAAACUGUAAUAUUAUUUCACUAGAAUAUAUAUCAAAUAAAUGCAGUCUUGGUGAUCGUAAGAGAUGACUUCUCUCAAAAAAAAUAAAAUAAUAAUAAUUAUUUCGCUUGUUCAUUUUGCAGGUGUUCUCACGUCUUUCCAUCCUGUACCCAAAGGCCAGCCUCCACCGUAUGAACAAAUACAAACACAACACACACAGCUCUGUCCAGCAGCCAAUGACAGGACAGCAUUCGUUUGCAAGGACCAAUCAGGCGUCAGCACACAGCAAGUGGCUCACCGGCCAGACAGUCUGGAGUUUACGGUGGAGCUGAACGGAUAUGCAGAAUUUGGCCCUUUUCCACCGAGCUGCAUGUCUAGAGGGACUUCCACUGCAAAGGAUUGUGGGAACGUCAGUUGUACAGGAAUUUCCUCUCAACUGGAGUCUUCAGAUGCGUUUGAUGAUCUAAAUGACUCCGACUCCUUCCCGCCUCCUCCGCCCCCUGUUUUCUUCGAUCCGUCUGAUUCCCCGGCCGCUGUCACUGAAGCCGAGGACGCCCCUGCAGCACCGGUCCGAGGCAGCACCGCCAGGGUCAGCUUCAGAGAGCCAAUCAGCAGCAGCUAUUCAGUGGAAGAGGAAGAGUGGGAGGAAGAGGAACGGGUGGAGACGCAGAGAAGAGAGGGAGAGGAUGAGGAGCAGGAGGAAGAUGGAGAGGAAGUUGAAGGAAGUUUUGGACACAGGUUGCGCUUCUGCAUUGAAGUACCAUCUCAAAUGGACCUGCUGGAUGGGUCGUACCACCGCAGUUCCCGCCGGGGAAGCGGUGGCCACCACCCCACGGAGAAGCGGCUCAGACGCUCCCGAGGUUCACGAAGCGACAGACCUCGUCUGGAAACCCUGGAAUGCAGGGUAGGAGACCGCAGGCGGUCCAACAGCGUCCUGGACAGCAGCCUUACCCUGCACUCCACCCGCUCACGGCACGAAGACUCCUGCUCCACCUGCUCCUCUUCCUCAGACUCCGAGGAGGAAGGCUUCUUUCUGGGCCAGCGCAUUCCUCUGCCGCCACAGCUGACGGGUGGAGAGAGAGCAGCAGAAGGACAGACAGAGGACGAGGACAAGAGCCGAAGAGGAAGCUUCAGGAGAAGAAGGACACAGAGUCUCAGUAGAAAAGACAAGGACAAGAACUGCAUACUGUCCUGAGACCAAGACUCUCUGAACCAGCAAGCUGCUCAGUCCAGAUCAAAGUUGAUCAGUGACAUUUUGUAUGAUAAAAAUAGAACCUCUCUUACAUUCUAUGCAUCUGUUUGAUGAUAUAUUAUCCAAUAUCAGUUUCAGUAUCAGGGUGCCUUGUCAAAUUUACUGGCAUUAUUAUUAGGUUCUAAUCCAAAUUUUGUUUGUUACAGGAAAAGUAGAACUAUACAGUUUCUAAAUUUAUGUGAGAGAACUCACAAUUGCAAGUGUUUAAGUCAGAAUUACUUGAUACAAAGUCAUAGUUGCUUGUUAAAAAGUCAGAAUUGGGAAGAAAAAAAAAAAAAGAGUAAUUUGUCAACUUUCCAUUACAUUUUCAUUCCGUUGACAUUUGCUUGGAAAUCAAAACAUUAUUCACAUGUUUUCGAACAACCGUUCAGAUUUUUGUAUUUAUAUUGUUUAUCAAACAACACCAAACACAAAGACAAGAAAGCCGCUUCUGGAUUCUUCCUCCGUUUUUCACUGUUGCUUAGAAAAAGCUGCGUAGUAUAUUCAUGAGUGCCACCAAGUUUUAGCUUCAUGUAACAGCAGCGACAUUGGGCAUGAGAAAAGAAAAAAAAAGUGUGAACGUUAUUGGUUGGCCAGCUUUAUUCACAGAGCAAAAUAGAGAUUUGAUCACCGAAACCAAAAUACAGAUUAGAACACUGAAAAACAGAAAUUGUUUAUUGGACCGGAUUUUUGCGACAAAUAUUUAUUAGUGUAAACAGUCCUGGAAUCAGAUCCAUGGUAACUAUGCUCAAAAUGGAAAUAAGCAUACUGUAGCGCAGUAUUGUUUCAUGAAUGCACUACUAAAUUGCAAGAGUAAUUAGAUACUGUGUUGUCAUAUGACUUCAUAAAAACAGUCAUCUCGUGUUUUUAAAUCUAAUUUUGUGUUAAAAUAAUGAAAGGUGAUGAAAUAAUGAAAUAAGGUGUUAAAAAUCACAGCAAUUACAUGGAAAGUGUGUGGUCAAAUCAAGCACUUUGCAUUGUGGGAUGGAUUACCCAGUGUUUUCCCUACUAAAUACUAAAUACUACACGUUUUGUCAAAUUUAGACAAAUGUAUGACAAAUAUUCCAUGCCUAAGGGAAAUAUUAACUCUAUGAACAGUAUGCAGUUGUUGUAUGCUAUUCACGCAGCCUGUGUGUUGGUGAAAGAUCAAAACCAGUUAAAAAUCAUAGAAAUGAUCCGUUGUUAAAUUAAGUGUUGGGGAAAGUUACUUUUAAAAGUAAUGUAUUGCAAUAUUACAUUUCUCCUUAAAAAAGCAACUAACUGCAUUUUUACUUUUUAUGGAAAGUAAUGUUACUUUUGCAUCACUUUUUCUCAUCUGGCCUGGACCUGCUUGUUCGUUUGUUUUUAAUUUAAAAAAGUUAUAUUUUUAGCAAAUGUAAGAGCCCUUUCACACCAAAAGUGAAAUGAAUACGCCUCAGGCUGAAGAAAAUAAUUUAAUUGUUGCAGGUUUGUGUCAUAUUCUGAGUUUGCAUUUCACUGUGUUUAUCCAUUUUGUGGAAUACUAAAUCUGUUUUUUGUGCAAGUGAGAUGAGUAAAUGCAUGUUCGCAUUUAGUCUAGAACUACAGGAAGCAUCAUGUUCACAUCAUGUUUACUCCUGAUUUCUCUCAACAUGAGGAAAGGAGAGCCGUCAGUCAGUAAAUGGGAAAACAAGGUAACUACCGUUUACUUAUUUGAAUGUAAAUUAAAAAGUAAUGCAUUACUUUAUUAGUUACUUGAAAAAAGUAAUCUGAUUACGUAACUUGCAUUACUUGUAAUGCAUUACAUCCAACACUGGUUAUAUUUCUAAAAUGUGUAGUCCCUUAUGUUCCACAUCUGCUAAAGCCAUAGUACAAGUUAAAAAGUGCUAAAUCUAAAACAAACUAAUUUAACAAGUGAAUAGUUGGUGCUUGUUUGACUGGUUUAGAGAGCUGUGUAAUUUGCACAUUUAAGGUUUGACUAUACGUGAAACUUAUUGAAAUGCAAACACAAUGUUGUGGAGUUAUUGUAUUUGAGCAUGUACUAGAAACACAAGUCAACAAACUGUAUAGCAAAAAGUCACAAGUCUACAGGCCACAUCAGAACAGAAUGUGGGAAAAUAUAGUCUUCAUCUCCUCAUCAACUGUAUUAUAUGUAAAUGUUGGCAUUUCAAACCUCUCUGUGUGUAAAUGAGAGUUUAAAUAAAGGCACAUGACUUUCACUUUGUGUUUUGCAAAAUAGAGAUACAAGGAUUGUGUGUUAGAAUUGUAUUUUUAUAAACAACAACAUGGUGAUGGUUUUAUAUUCUUGUCAAAAUGCUCUCUGGCUUAAAAUAUUUUUAGAAACUUUAAGAAGUUAUCUUUUUGAAUGAGACGAAUAAAACAUUUGAUCCUAAACAUUAUGUUCAUAUAUUUUUUGUAUGUUAAAGUAUAUUAUUAGGGUCCUGCGCGAAAAUGA